GCACGGCGCUCACUGCGGAACAACGCAGCGGGACAGAGGGGCCCGGACGGCUUCUGGGUAGGAUUUCCUCAACGCAGGAGCGGAAAAAACAACAUGAAACUAUGUCUCAAACAAGGUAGAAGGCGGUAAGGCAAGAGUCCAAUAAACGCCUCCUAGACAGCACAGUUCGGGCGGCAGGAAAAGAGUCUUUGGGACAGCGAGCCGCGGCUGGAGAUGUCAGGGAGCGGAGGCAGCGCAAAAGGUGCACGGCUGCGUAACCGGCACGGAAACAGAAAGUGCUUCUGUCUGCGUGUAAAGGCACACGGAACACGGCACGUUGCAUCCCACCGGACCUGAGUAAGCCCUCUGACACCGUGCCACGUAUGAAACAACCGCUGAAACUGGGGAGAAUGGGGAACGGCGCAGAAAUAGAGCAUGAGUAACGCCGGGCAGGAGCUGGCGGCGCUGCUCCGAGGGCACGGCCCGCCCCGCGCGGCGCCCACGGCUCUGGGCGCUGUCACUGGGUUUCUUUAAUGACUGGCAUAGAAGCUGAAAGGCACGGAGAAAAAAUCUGCUGGAAAAAAAAUAGGAAUUGAAAUAAUACGUGGGGAAGCCUGAAUGACCUUAAAGGGUAGAGGAAUAGGAGCAAGGUCGAAGUAUAAACGCUGUGCACUUCAACUAAAGGUCUGGGUACACGCUGGGUUAUCAGGCAGGAUGCACAAGGAUGUGAACCUCAAGGUGCCGUGCAGUCAUGACACUGACCAACAGCCACCAAUGCAAUGCAGACAUGGAAACGUGCAAACACCCUCAGAAUAUUUCAGUCAAAAGAGUUUUCACAGGGAGAGGAACAAGUAUAGCAAGGGGAAGAAAGCAAUGGAAAUUUGGGUGAUUGACUUGAAAAGAAAUGAGAGAAGGGAGUUUUCUGUAAGCUGGCCAGAGCCUCCUAACAGGAAAAAAAAUCCACCAGCUGCUUUUGUGUAUGCUCACUGACUUCUUUUACUUAAACACUGCUUUGAACACUCAUGUCAAAGGUGGUACAGCCUAGCAGGGAGAAGUGCAGAGCUGCUCUGUGCUCACCAGUGGAGACAUUCCUUCAAGGUAAAAAAAAAAAAAAAAAAAAAAGAGAGAGAGAGAGAAAAAGAUUCCCCUUUUCAGACUUCGAAUCUGCAGAAACCCAAAGGUUAAACAGGUUAAAUCAAGUCUUACUCAAUGUCUACAUGACUAAUUCCAAUUUCAGAACAGCUUGCAGGCUACACAGUUAUCCAUUUACACUGAGAUCCUCAGCUACCUCUAACUGAACCAUUUCAUGCACACUAAAGGGCCAGGCAGAACCGAAGACAGAGACAAAUCUUAUCUAAGAUCAAAAAAGCACCAACCUGCAGGAGACUCCCCCAUGAAAACGCAAAGUGCAAAGUAAAAAAAGAAGAAAAAAAACCAACCCAACCCCCCAUCUUGAGCACUGCUCAGCUUUCCAGACAGACACAGCUCUGUAGAGGAGCGCUGCCUCAGUUUGUUCACUCACAAAUGACAGCUAGGCACAGCUUCUUCUGAUGCAAACACCAGCUUUUGGGACCCAGUCCCACCAGGCACUCAGAAGAGAUCUCCUUGCUCAGAGCUGCGCUAACUGCAAGCCUGGUCGUGUCCAGGGUGAUAUGAACGGCGAACACUUCAGCUCCUAUCACAAAUACACGGAAAUCAUCAAACGAGGAUCACCUGCAGUCAGGGAAGCAACCCAGAUGAAACAGCCCAUCCAUGACCCUUACAUUUUAUGUGGCUGUGAAGACUUAACACAGACCAUAAUAACGCAAAUAUUUAAGCGUUGCAUCAAUUUGAAACUACAAUUAAUACUCAUCAACACAAAGCCUCUUCAUGAAGAUGACUGAGAAAAAAAAUAAUCACACAAAAUCUCUGAGAUUAAUAUUCAGGUGAUACAAAUGGCCACAGCUCCCAGCAGCCCAGGUGAGGAUCUUAGCAGACAGCAAACACCAGAGACAUGGGGACAACGGUAAAAUCUGCUUACAAAUUCAUAUUGUGAAAAAUUCCUAGUGGGAAACAAAAAAAAAGACUGACGCAUUUGUAGAGUCAAAAAUAAAACUCCGCAGCUGUCUGUGCGAUACAUUUUAUGGGGAUAAACAGAGGAAUUAAUGUGAUUCAGCUUGGAGAUUUGAAAGCUCUGGAAGAUAACACGCACCACUCGGGGAGCUGUUGGUUUCUGAAGACAGAUGGAGAUGUAAAAUAUCCUAUGUUACCGUAAAACUUAGAUGCAGGAAGGACUCUCUACUCACCCAUUUCACAUUAUCCAGCCCGAUAAGGCUUUUAAAGGCGAGAUGCAACUUCUGGGCAACACAGCAGAACGUAUAAUGUGACCAAAUACAUGGAUUUUAAUUAUGAAUCAGCAGCUUCUUUUAGGGCAGUUAGGUUUUAAACAAACAGAAGUACCUUGUAUUCAAAGAUCUGAUUUUACUCUAAGAAAUUCAGUAGUCACUUCCUAGUGAGUUCAUAUACUUUCAAGCAGACACAGAAAGGAAAAUAUUGGUCUUUGGUUUCCAAGGGGAUGGUGUUCUUCUCCCCUUGCUUGUCUGAGUAUGAAUUGUAACAGGAGUGACUUAAGAUCAAAAACUCACUUCUGAAGUCUUCUGACUGCUCGUCAUCCAGGGCAUCAAUAAUACAUCAGAAAGAAAACUCUACAUCCAAAGCUGGAAAAGCUACUUUUUCAGCAAUUAUGUAUAUUAAAUUAGCAGAGAAUCUUCAUUUCAAAACGUGCCUACUGUCAGGUAUUCACUGAAAAUACCUCAUAUGGUAUUAUUCAUUCUUGCCUUUCCCUCCCCCCGCCCCAGAAGACAGAAAUAGUGCAGCAGUCUGACAAUUUUUAAAUGUAAGCUUGGCCAGAGGUUUGAAUACAAUCAGACUGAUAUCGGAAUGACUAAAAAACAGAGUUUGAAGUUGCAGUAACUAAGCAAUGUAACAAAGGAACCAGGAGCAGGUGACUUGCAAAGUAAAACGGGCUCUUCCUGCUGAGUUCAGGCUAUUUAGCAUCGCUCAAAAAAAGUUACAUCCAAAAAGGAACUGAGUCACUGCAUCAUUUACUGCUGAAAUAACUAGCUUUGAUGAAGUUAGCAACAGACAUAGAAUUCAAAAUAUUGCAUUGGAACCUCAGGUUUCCGAAGCGAACAAACAAAAGCCUGAAGCUGAAAUGAAACCUUGCGUUGCAACACAGGCUGUCAAAUGAACAGUGUGUUAUGCUGUUUCUCCCCUCUCCACCUUUUCUUAAACCAACGUCUUUUCUGAGGGGCACACAAACUGUGGCUGUGGGAAGAGAAGAAAACUGGGCAGAGACCCUAUUCAACUCCAGGGGAACGCUCUAGCCGUGAGCCUACCUUAAAGAAGGAAACAAACAAGAGCGGCAGGAACUACUUCUCCGUGUCUUAAAGCAUUGAAUAACACUGUUUAGAGUCAAGUCAUCAGAUCUGCACAGGGUACCCCAAGCGCAUUAAGCCACAGAAGAUACAAGAGCUAGCAUUUGGUCCUCCGUUACGCUUCAGUGAGAGGUAAGAAACUGAUCAGUCAGCACUGCUGAAACUGAGAUCAUCUUCUAUGCAGAACUACAAAGCCCAUGAAAAAAAAAAAAAACAUUAAAAAUCUAAGGAUGGUCACAAUUCUCACAGAUCUCACAUAUAAGACAGACUAAAAGGAAUUUACAGCAGCACAGUUUGGGAGUUUUAUCUUUGUUGCUAUUUAAAAACCAACAUCCCACCAAACAUUUCUCCUCUUUGAACAGAUACUGCUAUCUCCUAAGCAAACUUGACCACAAGCUUCAGAGCUUAACUGUAUGUAGCAAUCUUUCUUUGAAAAUUAGCAGAUGUUUCAAGAGACUGUAAAAGGACAAACAGAGUAUUUUUCUUUAAAACAAACAAAUCAACCAACCCCAGGAAGUUAGAAACCAGCCAAUAUAAAUUAAAAUUCCUCAGCAAAUUUAUAAUAUAUCCGAUCAUGAUAGGUAUACCUAGAUAAUAGCAAAGUGAUAAAUACCAACCAACAUGGUUUUUCAUCGACAGAUCAAACCAACUUUAUUUUCAGUCAUGUUGUACAUAUACAAAUAAACUGAAGAUCCCAGCUUUA